UGGGGAAUUUUGCACAAUGGGGGAAACCCUGAUGCAGCGACGCCGCGUGAUUUAGAAGGCCUUCGGGUUGUAAAAAUCUUUUCUAUGGGAAGAAAAUGACAGUACCAUAGGAAUAAGGACCGGCUAAUCACGUGCCAGCAGCCGCGGUAAUACGUAAGGUCCGAGCGUUGUCCGGAAUCAUUGGGCGUAAAGGGUACGUAGGCGGGUAAGCAAGUUAGAAGUGAAAUCCUAUAGCUCAACUAUAGUAAGCUUUUAAAACUGCUCAUCUUGAGGUAUGGAAGGGAAAGUGGAGUUCCUAGUGUAGCGGUGAAAUGCGCAGAUAUUAGGAGGAAUACCGGUGGCGAAGGCGACUUUCUGGCCAUAACCUGACGCUGAGGUACGAAAGCGUGGGUAGCAAACAGG
rnacentral:rRNA from 1 species